rnacentral:rRNA from 1 species
GAUGAACGCUGACAGAAUGCUUAACACAUGCAAGUCAACUUGAAUUUGGGUUUUUAACUUAGGUUUGGGUGGCGGACGGGUGAGUAACGCGUAAAGAACUUGCCUCACAGCUAGGGACAACAUUUGGAAACGAAUGCUAAUACCUAAUAUUAUGAUAAUAGGGCAUCCUAUAAUUAUGAAAGCUAUAAGCGCUGUGAGAGAGCUUUGCGUCCCAUUAGCUAAUUGGAGAGGUAACGGCUCACCAAGGCGAUGAUGGGUAGCCGGCCUGAGAGGGUGAUCGGCCACAAGGGGACUGAGACACGGCCCUUACUCCUACGGGAGGCAGCAGUGGGGAAUAUUGGACAAUGGACCGAGAGUCUGAUCCAGCAAUUCUGUGUGCACGAUGAAGUUUUUCGGAAUGUAAAGUGCUUUCAGUUGGGAAGAAACAAAUGACGGUACCAACAGAAGAAGUGACGGCUAAAUACGUG